UGCGGGCUGGGCGCGCGCGCACCGCUGUGCGCUGGGUCCCCACGGCCUUCCCCGGGCCCUCGCUGCCCCGUUUGCGCCGCGCCGCCCAGAGCUCGAGGCCAAGCAGCCUUAGGUGUUUAGGACAAGGGCCCGGGGGCCCGGGGGCCCGCGGAGACCUGCGCCUGGGUCUGGGACCCGUGGACGCGUUCUCCCCGCAGGCGCUCGCUCGCCGUGCCCCAUCCGGCGCUCACAAGUCCUCGGUGGCCCUUUUAAUGGGAAAACAGCAGCCAGCAAGGUCGGAAACAUGUUAUUUAUAAUUCAUGGGCCGGUCUUCGAACCCUUUCAAACGAAACCCACAGCGAUUUCUUUGAAAGAAAUGCCAGGACUCUGCUCAGAAGCCGCGGGUUUUCUAAGGACGGCCCGGCAGCCGCAGAUAGUAAACGACCCCGCCCGCCACGUUUGUUUCUGAUUAUUAGCUUUGCCGCUGCUUAGCGAAAUGUAACCGAAGAGUUUAUAAACAUCGUUUCUUCGGGGAGCCGGACACGCGUUCGACCCCAGCACUGAAUCUAGAGGGAGCUGUGCGCUUCGGAUGCAGAAAAGGAUGAAGCGAAUCGACGUCAACCCCCCACCCGCAAACGUGCAAGUCGACGCUGGAACCGGUGCGUCUCCGGAGUCUGCGUCCGGCGCCCCCCGCCCCGUGUCCCGACUCAGAAGUUUUCCCGAGGCGGCGGGUGGGGAAGUCUGAGUUCAUCCGAACCGCGGGGGUUGUUCCCGGACUCUCUCCCUAGCACGGGUCCUGAGAACAAAGGCGCGUGAGAGAAGGGUGGCCGGCUGGGUGCUGCCGGUCGCGUCCAGCAAACCACGUCUUCCUUCCCCCGCUCUCGUGCCAAGAGGCUGGGUUUGUCAAUUUUGUCCUUAUAGAGAGGAGCUUCGGAAGGCGAGCCCCCUCCACACCCCAGGUAUCCACCUCCGCGGCCAGGCGCGCCCCGCAAGGCCAGCAGCCAAUCCCGCGUCACACCCGCCUUCCACCCAGCACGCCUGCCCACCCGCCGCGGGUCCCCAUGGCCUCCCCCGCACCCCGCUUCUGGAGAGGUUGGUGACGCCGCAGGUCCCGCCCCCGGCCCGGCCCGGCGACUGCGUGCUGACGUCAUGCUGCGUGCGGGCCGGUGCGGUCGGUCCUGCAAGUCCACGGGGCCGGAGUUAGUUCGCAAAGAGCAGGCGGGGCGCGCGACCCUCGCACUGUGCCCAAGCUGCCCUUGGCGCACUCCUCCUUCUGCAUGGUGGACGUUAUUUUUCACUAUCCUUUUCUGGGUGCUAUGGGGGAUCAUUCCAAGAAGAAGCCGGGCACCGCCACGUGCGUGGGCUGCGGGAGUCAGAUCCACGACCAGUUCAUCUUGCGGGUGUCCCCGGACCUCGAGUGGCACGCCGCCUGCCUCAAGUGCGCCGAGUGCAGCCAGUACCUGGAUGAGACGUGCACGUGCUUCGUGAGAGACGGGAAGACCUACUGCAAACGGGACUACGUCAGGCUGUUCGGCAUCAAGUGCGCCAAGUGCCAGGUGGGCUUCAGCAGCAGCGACCUGGUGAUGCGGGCGCGGGACAGCGUGUACCACAUCGAGUGCUUCCGCUGCUCCGUGUGCAGCCGCCAGCUGCUGCCCGGCGACGAGUUCUCCCUGCGGGAGCACGAGCUGCUGUGCCGCGCGGACCACGGCCUCCUGCUGGAGCGUGCCGCGGCCACAAGCCCGAGCAGCCCUGGCCCGCUCCCCGCGCGGGGCCUGCAUCUGCCAGACCCCGGGGCUGGCCGGCAGCCCGCGCCGCGCCCGCACGCGCACAAGCAGGCGGAGAAGACGACCCGCGUGCGCACGGUGCUCAACGAGAAGCAGCUGCACACGCUGCGGACCUGCUACGCCGCCAACCCGCGGCCCGACGCGCUCAUGAAGGAGCAGCUGGUGGAGAUGACCGGCCUGAGCCCGCGGGUCAUCCGCGUCUGGUUCCAGAACAAGCGUUGCAAGGACAAGAAGAAAUCCAUCCUCAUGAAACAACUGCAGCAGCAGCAGCACAGCGACAAGACGAGCCUCCAGGGCCUGACCGGGACGCCCCUGGUGGCGGGCAGCCCCAUCCGCCACGACAGCGCCGUGCAGGGCAGCGCGGUCGAGGUGCAGACGUACCAGCCUCCGUGGAAAGCGCUCAGCGAGUUCGCGCUGCAGAGCGACUUGGACCAGCCCGCCUUCCAGCAGCUGGUCUCCUUCUCCGAGUCUGGCUCCCUAGGCAACUCCUCCGGCAGCGACGUGACCUCCCUGUCCUCGCAGCUCCCCGACACGCCCAACAGCAUGGUGCCGAGUCCGGCGGAGACGUGAGGGGGACCCCCGAGCCCGCGGACCGCGCAUGCUCCCUGCAUGAGACUCGCCCGUGCUAAGGCCCCGUCCGCCGAAAGCUCCCGCCUUUGUAACUGUUAUUACUGUUAUUUCAAGAGGACGGAGAGGCGUCAGCACUGCCCCGAGCGCCAGGACGCACCCGCUUUCCCAGGCUGGACGGCGCUGCUCCCAGGACUUGGACUUUUCAGAACGGGAAUUCGGGAUUUACUAGCGUUAGCUCUGCACCCUCCUCUGCCUGCGUCCGCGCCCCCGCGGCUCCCGGGGCGCCGCGGGGAGACGACGCGACAGCCCAGAGGAGCAGCCUCGACCCCGCAAAGCGCAUGAAUGCCGAAAAACUAGAAACGGGACUUACCUUGAAAAUGCUUAAGUUAUCCGUCGACGGAGGACAGAGCGUGUGAGCCUUUGCCGAACAAAACACCCGAAUGCCGGGGCGGGGAUGGCCCAGGUCACUCGGUGUGACAUUUCAAACCCUGCCACUUGUUUUCUUGAAAACUGGCUUUAGAGCUCGCAGGAAAUAACCGAGAGAUACCGAAUCUCCAGCAGCCCCGGGCGAGCGCACGGAACGCGGGCUCAGGUUUUCCCCUCCGCGAGUUUAACUCUUUGGCAGCCUCACUCGCCGCACUCGGGAGCUGCCAGCCAAGCAGCCCAACCGCGACUCUUGAGAAAUCGCUGCCGUUGGCUUUGUUUCCCUGUCCCUCGAGUGAAAUGACCCGCAAGUAUAUCGUUCUCUGCCCGGGAUUUGUUUUGAAAGACGGCAGUGCCCCGAGUAGGGGGCAGCUGCGGUGGCGGGAUGGAGUACUGGGCGCCUUCUGCUAAAAGCCGCGGCUGCUUGCACGGCAGAGCUGACGGCAGGCACCGUCGCCCGGUCGCGAGGGAAGGCUGGAAGUCGGGAGGGCAGUUAUCGAAAGAAAAUGGGAGGUGGUGGGGAAAUUGGGUCACGUGUCUAUUUUGCUUCCUGAAAGUCAAGGUGAUGCUAGCACAAAAAUUAAAAAGGACACUUCCCUUCGGGAUUUAGGAAACGGUGCUGCAAACUUAGAGAUAAGGGAAGAGAUACGUCGGGUUAAUGAGGACCAGCUUUACCUCUCAAGGAUCCAGAUACGGUUUUAAUAAUCAGGGUUAGGCUCUUUGAGGCUUCAUUCUCUUAACUUAGACCAUUCCCUCCCAAACAGAAAUAGUUCCUUUUACCUUUUGACUGGCCGUUGGAUAGAGGGCUAAACUUCCAAGAAAUCUUCCUUUCAAAAACUUUUAAUUUAUCCACAAUAUUGGGUUUUGUCAUCUUAAAAAAAAAAAAAAGGUUCUUGAAUAAUUUCAUUAAUGGUUGUUAAUUAGCUCCACAUUUUUUUAUUUUGACAGCACUAUUUUAAUGUCAUGAAUGGAAACAUCUGUCUAGUCAUCUCUUUAUCAUUCAUAGAUCGAAAUCUAAUUCCUCUUUUUGAUGUUUUUGAAUACUGGGAAAUUACCCAGAUAAAAGUGGUUACUGUAUAUUGGGAUGCCUGUGUCUAUCUGUAUUUACUGUAUUAAACAUCAUAAGCUUUUCCCCUGUAGUUUCUUGCCAGCUGCCCUAAGUGGCACAUUGUUUUCCAGGGAAAGGAGUUGACUUUGAAGCUUUAUUACAAUGGUCCCUGGUGAGGUGUCGGAUCUACGGUUGGUUAGUUACAUUAAUAUCAGUUUUAAUGGCUCCCGGGUCAUUUUUAAACAUCUUCUGUAAUACAGUAGGGAUUUUCUUGUAAAUUAAAUUGCCUGUAACAAUUACAA